rnacentral:rRNA from 1 species
GACGAGCGCUGGCGGCGCGCUUAACACAUGCAAGUCGAACGGAAAGGCCUGCUUUCCCUUGUGGAUUGCGGGUACUCGAGUGGCGAACGGGUGAGUAACACGUGAGUGAUCUGCCCCCAACUUGGGUAUAAGCCUGGGAAACUGGGUCUAAUUCCCGAUAGGACUGCAGGGUGGUGCCUGUGGUGGAAAACGAUUUUCUAGUGGUUGGGGAUGAGCUCGCGGCCUAUCAGCUUGUUGGUGGGGUAAUGGCCUACCAAGGCGGCGACGGGUAGCCGGCCUGAGAGGGUGGACGGCCACAUUGGGACUGAGAUACGGCCCAGACUCCUACGGGAGGCAGCAGUGGGGAAUAUUGGACAAUGGGCGGAAGCCUGAUGCAGCGACGCCGCGUGGGGGAUGACGGCCUUCGGGUUGUAAACUCCUUUCGACCGCGAGGAAGCCACCUGGUUGGAAGGGUGGUGACGGUAGUGGUAGAAGAAGCACCGGCUAACUACGUG